GACGCCGCUGCAAACUCCAGAUCCUCAGGACACGACUCCAACAAAUGCAGGUCGAUCCAGCGUCGCUGUGGUUCUUAUCGCUUUUAUAUCGGCUGUAGCUGUUGCUGGUCUUACUGUAUAUUUUUGCUGCCAUCAUCAGCAUCAAACUAAGCAUCCAGAGGAUGAUGAGACAGAAACAGAACCACUACCAGUCUAGCUGCUUGCUCAAAGGAGUGUCGGUGUUAAUGGAGCUGAGAGCAGCAGAGAUUUAUCUGUGCUGGAUCUUCAGUCAGAUUGGGGCCUCGUCCGGUUUAUUUAUCGAGCUCAUUUUCACAUAAAGAAAGUGUAGAACAAGAAAACCCAGAGUGGAAGAUCAGAGGAUGUAAACAGGAAAUAUUUCUUACAGACGUCUUCAGUCAGAGUUGCUGCUGUCAGACUCUGGAGGAUCUGCUUGGAAACAUCAAGCAGUGAAACUGAUGGAUUUCCUCCUUCAGUACAAAACUGUGAAGUUCAGCCUGGAGAAGAAACACUCCUCUGCCUCACUGUCAGCGUGUUUAAUCUAAGUUAUUUAGUCUUUACCUCACUGGUUAAGGUGAACCUAAAUCUUUUAGUGAGACCUCAAAGUGUCUCUGAUGGACAAAUUAAAAUGAAAAUUAAAACUGUUUUGGAAAAUCACCAGUAGAGUUUGAAGUACCAGGAACAGCAUUCAUGGAGCUCACAUUAAGCACUCGUGUUUUAUGCAAACCUUGUUUGUUAGUUGUCUGUUAACUUUAAUGUCUCAGAGAAACGGAACUAUAAGCUGAACACUUUAAGUAACUGCUGCACUUUAUAAACAGAAAAAAAGCUGAUUUAUACUCUAGAUUUUUAAAGCUACAACUAAUUUAUUACAUUUACUGUGAAACUUCCUGCUGGUUGGGAUUCGAUGUUCAGACUGUAACCUUAUAGUCUGAUUUGUGACCGUCCUCAGUUUACAGGUGUGAAAUGUUUAAACACAAAUGUGUUUAUUGCU